CAGCAGCCGCGGUAAUACGUAGGGUGCAAGCGUUAAUCGGAAUUACUGGGCGUAAAGCGUGCGUAGGCGGUUCGUUAAGUCUGUUGUGAAAGCCCCGGGCUCAACCUUGGAAUGGCAAUGGAUACUGGCGAGCUAGAGUGUGUCAGAGGAUGGUGGAAUUCCCGGUGUAGCGGUGAAAUGCGUAGAUAUGCGGAGGAACACCGAUGGCGAAGGCAGCCCCCUGGGCCAAUACUGACGCUCAUGCACGAAAGCGUGGGGAGCAAACAGGAUUAGAUACCCCUGUAGUCCCUGUCUCUUAUAU
rnacentral:rRNA from 1 species